AAGGUGGUGUAGUGGUAGCACGCGUUCCUAGUGUGGAUGAAACGUGGAUUCGACUCCCGUUUUAGGUU